rnacentral:rRNA from 1 species
UAUGGAGGGUGCAAGCGUUAUCCGGAUUUACUGGGUUUAAAGGGUGCGUAGGUGGACAAGAAAGUCAGUGGUGAAAGCCCGGAGCUCAACUCCGGAACUGCCAUUGAAACUGUAAGACUUGAGGAUGAGAGAGGUGAGUGGAAUUCCCAGUGUAGAGGUGAAAUUCGUAGAUAUUGGGAAGAACACCGGUGGCGAAAGCGGCUUCCUGGUCCAGCACCGACGUUCAGGCACGAAAGCGUGGGGAGCAAACAGG